AAUUAACUGAGAGCAAUUAUUCUGGUUAAUGCUUAGAAAGAAAUCCCAAGGCAUUUGUAUUUAUCUUACGACUGCGCAGCUCUUUGCACAGUGUCCAGUCUUUGAUUUUACAGAAACAAGCUGAGGUCACAGUCAGUUUCAGAGCCGGAUGCCAGUGUUCAAGCUUGGUGCUCUUCUGCCAUCUCCUACUCCAUGGCUACUUGAUUUCCUUCUGCAGUGUUGAGAGUGCACAGAAAGUUUUAGUGAAAAACAUAAGUAGCAGCAAGCUGACUAACACAGAAGGGAUACAAACAAGAUAUUACAGGAGGAACUGCUAGGCUGCCUGAGAAUAGCUGAGGACUGAACCCAGGGCCUUCUAGGCAAGCGCUCUACCACUGAGCUAAAUCCCCAACCCCAACUCUUACCCUGGUUCUAUUAGCCCAUUGCCUUAGUCAUGCAUGCUUUAACGCUGAGAGAAAAAUCCUUUCAUUUUCUCAAGAUUUGUAAAAACCUUACCAGUAUACUUGGAAAGGCCAAUAAAAGAUUUGUAUCAUUAUAUAGGAUCAAAGAGGCCCAAUGGACUUUGUUAAAUGGUGGCCUUAAAUUGCAUCCUUUCAUGACUGUCUGCCUAGUUUCUCCUGUUUUCCCUGCUCACUUGACUAAUUCUCCUCUGAGUAAUUUCUCAAUAAAUGUUUGCCACAUACACCUUUUCUUUAGGCUCUACUUACAAGGAGAUAUCCAAAAGCACAGAGAACUUGUUUGAAACAGCCAAGAAAGAUCUCCACUCAUUUGUAACUACUUUCCAUAGUGAUUUAUUAAAACUUCCAGUAUGUGGUCUGCAUAACUUCCUGCUUCACGCAUAACUCCAAUGCUUCAAAUUAGAAGAAUAGAAACUAUUUGCUUUGGUCACAGACACUUUGUUAAUUAGUGCUUGUCAAUUACAAGUUUAAUAUUCUCUAGAUUUUUAGAGGAAGAAAUCAGGCUAGUUAAUUGCUUUAGAAUCUUCAUUCUUGAAUGGAAAUAUUUUUAUGCUUUCCUUGUAUACUUUUG
rnacentral:sRNA from 1 species